UGUUAUAUGAACAACACAAAUAGAGUGCCUCUAUUAAUUUGUUGUUGUUUUGUUUGUUUGUUUUUUUGUUACUUCCAAGAUCUUAAGCCUCACUACUAGCCUUGCUCUCUUCCCAUAAGUCUCAUCCAACAGAAAACACCGAGGCAAUUCCUGCCUGUGAUGGAGGACAGUGGCCUUUGAUCUCAGCAUAAGAGCAGGUAUCCAAAACACUAACUUGCCUGGGCAGCACUGAGUGAAGAGGAAUCGCCUUGGACUAAAUGUAAAUAUAUAUGGCAUCACUAAUGUGUACACAGUUGGAGGACACGUGUUGCUUGUAAACAUUUACAAGUGAAAGACUUGAAUGUUACAAGUGAUAGGAUGCAAGGAAAUGACCUCAAGUUGUUCCAGGUGAGCCUAAUUUGUCAUGUCAGGGAUAAUUUAUUAAUGGGAGAGGCAAUUAGGCAUUGGAACGGGCUGCCCAGGAAAGUGGUCUCUGGAGGUAUUUAAAAAAUGUGUAGACCUGGUGCUUUAACAGUAGACUUGUAGAGUAAAGUGGAUGGUCAGAUUUGAUGAUCUUGAAGGUCUUUUCCAAUUGAAAUAAUUGUAUGAUUCUACAAUCCUACAAAGCAAGUAGAAAGUGAGAAAAAUGUUUGUGAGAUGGUCUUGAUUACCUCAUCAGGACUCGGAUUAUUUUUAGGGAAGGGCAAUAACAACUGGUGCAGUCAAAAGCUAGCAUUGUAUAUACUGGGAGUAUUGCCAUUGCAUUCUUUGCCUCUUUGGGUGAAAUCUUACUUCUCCAAGAAGCGAUAAGUUUUGUAUUUUCUUCUUCUGCCACUGCCAUACAAAGCAAGAAUGUAAGACAUACUUGUGUAGUGAUCCAACUACAAAUAUCUCAGAAGAGCUUUAACUGUUUCCUCCUAGUCCUGCAGGCAAAAGAGUUUUCAGAUAGCUCGGCUUGCCACUCUGGUCUCAGUGUUCUCCAUUGUUGGUUCAGUGGAGGACCUGAGAGGAGAGCACGAGACUUGUUUCCACUUCACUGCCACCUUAAAUGAUUGAAUUGUCUAUGAAGCGGCAGUUUUAUUUAAUUAGGGCUUUGGACAGGGAGCCAGGCAAUUAAAAUUGUUAUAUUUGCUUUCAAAAUUUCCAUGCAAGCAGGUGCAGACUGCUUUCAUACAGUUCAGCCUCCAUGGCUCCUUGACCUGGGAGUGCAGAAGAAUGAAAUGCAGAGGGCAGAACUCCUUUUCUCACACACAGCCUUGUGCAAACAUCGUAGCUCGACUGCUUCCAGAUUCAGAGUGGCACAAGUGUUGUGCUCUGUAGCAUUUUCAAUUACUCUCCACUGCUAGGUGCUCUGCACAAAAAAAAAGAUUUUGUUUUUUCCCCACAUCGAAGAAGGAAAGAGUUUCUCAGAGCUGCUUACAGAGGGAGGCCGUGCCCAGACGUAAGCACUGAGGCUGUCCUUUCAGAGGAAUAACGUACUUUCUGUUCUCACUUUUUCCCCUGUUCUUAAGACCACUGAGUAUUAUGAUAACCCACUUGGAAAGGGCUGGAAUAAGUGCUUGGGAGGGAGAUAAAUACCAGCUCAAACUUCGCUUUUUAUUUUCUGUACAGUUUUUAAACAGAUGGAGGCUAAAAAUCUAGCAAAUCAAAUAUUUCUACCACCGGUGGUCCUAAAUUGCAUGCAGAGCACUGUGGGCUGGUGGCCAGAACAAUAACGAAGCUGCCCUGAAAGUAUUUAUCUUAGGCAAUACUUUUUACUUCUCAUUGCUAUCUGAAAAUUUCAGUGUGAAUUAAACAUCACAGGUAAGGCUAUCUCUCUUUUCCAGCUGCAGAAAUCGAAAACCAGAAAGGUUACAAAUAGAAUUUGUGUUUGGAGUACCAUCCAAGCCCUGGGACUCACAGAAGACAAGAGGGCUAUUCACAAAGCAUGGCACUGCAUAAAGUGUAUCUGGCCUUGUGACUUACCUGUGAACAUGGGGUUAGUCUGGAAAGAGAUGUCAUGUCUCUUAAUUCAUGGUUAUUACUUCAGUUACACUGCUGUUUUUUUCCUGUUAGAAGAAAUAUGAUUGAAGAAUCAGGCAGUGGUAGUAUUGAAGAGCUUGCCAGUGCAGAUAAACACUCAGAAGAAAUACUUGAGCUUGUGGUUUGAUCACACAAAGGAUUUUUAGUACCAUCAAGGCAUGGUCCAAAAUACAUGCAAGAUAUAAUGACUGUUUUCACAAUUGCAACUACCUGCAGUUUCAUGUAUCUUUGAUCUUCUUUUCCUCAGAAGGGUUUAAAAAAAGAAGUGUUGAGGUUCCCUAUAUUGUCAAAUGACCAUGGUUAUUUACAUAGCUAAAUGGGGGGUCUGUAAAGUGUACUGUGCCAUUUAAAAUUAACUUAGUGAAUAUCUGUUAAGGAAAGCUGCAUUAGAGAAAGGGCAUGAAUUUUAAACCCAUUCGUAGAUUAAUGGAGGCAAAGUACUGCAUGGAUGUUCUGAUUUCACUUAAUUACCAAGUCUUGUUAGACUGAGUCAAACAGGAGUCAACUUAACUGAUGCAAAUGUAAAAUGUCACAUUUUCAUCACAAGGUUUAUAUCCAUAGCUUUCUGCAGAGACCGUAUCGUGCUGAUAUGUGUAAUAACUUAUGCUUCCUUAGUGAUUCCUCUUUACGUAGGUAAGUCCAUGUUAAAAUAACACACAAUCUGUUGCACAGAAGCUCCACCAUCUAUAAGAAAAGGCAAAAAACCAUUGGGAUAGAAUUUCUUCAGAAGAAUAUGUAACAUAGCAAGAUUUGAAGGACAAGUUUGGCAAACCCCACAAGAACGUGUUUGAAAAGCCAAGUCCUUUUAUCAUUUGCCUUAAGAAUUCUGGAUCUCCUGUCACUGAGAGAGAUUGGCCACUGUGUCACUGAGGAAAUCAGAAGAGGAAUUCCUAUCCUCAAAGCUCCAAAUUCCCUUCAAGUUUUUAUCUGUAUCAUCCCCACGCUGGACUUUAGAUUUGGACUUUAGAUUUAUCUCUGCUAGUUCAGAGUUCAAACCAAUCAUAAAACUUUGCCAUGUGACUGUGCUUUCCAAAAGCAUUCAACUUUGCAUUGUUGAGCAAAAUGCCAUAGAGUAGAAAAAAAGAAACAAACAGCUCGUAUCAACAGCAAGAGAGGAAAUAGAAGGUAUGACAGGAAUUCAAACACUUGUUAGAACAGCUUCAAAAUUUCAGGAAUUCGGAUGAGGCCUUGAGAGCGGUCCAAACUCAUAUACUCUUGUGGUGUCAAAAAAGUGAAAUUUCAUAAAAAUCAAGACUUGAGUCAGAUCCUGAGUUUCAUCAGAGUGUGGCAGAACUGGAGAACAGAAAAUAACUCUUUCUUCUCCGUUACAGCUAAAUAGAUGGUUUUAUUAAUUAUAGUUGAUAGUUAAAGAGAGGACAUUCUGCCAUUCAGAACUGAAUAUGAAGUCCACUGAGAUCAGUUAGGUAUUUCCAUUUACUUCAGUGGAUGCUGAAUGAAUUGAGGAAGAACCCGCGUAAGAAGUGAGGUGGUACUGCGAAGUGCAGACUUGGGGUGUGCAUAGCACAGCUGCCCUGGGGGGAAACUAGGAGUUCUGAGGAAAUGUCCUGCUUUAUGAUGCUGAUGUGUCAUCUCCUGUCUGCUUACCAGUGCGCUGACUAAGGAGCAAGCAAUGCAAGGAGAGAUGGAACUUGAUGUAAGGGUGGGCGCUGCAGAUGAUAAAUGUGUACAUACAGAUAUUGGUGUAUAUAUACAGAUCUUUAAAUGUGGAGGUUUCAGCUACAGGCAUUUCAUCAAAAUUUACAUUAUUUGAAGCCGACUUCUCCUGAAUCAGAAAAGAAAUGCAAAUGUUUUGCAAAUUAGAUGUGUUAAUAAUUAGGAUUGUAUGAACAAGCUAUGUAUAAAAGUCUAUACUCUGUCUGGAGAGUGACAUGCUUGUGGGAGGGUUAAAUAAAAAGUAGUUUAAUGAAGGAACUAAUUUCUCUACCAAACUACCAGGAAGUUCAAAACAAAGAAUUUAAAAACAGGGUAUUUUUAAACAAAUAGCUUGACAACAUUGUGCCCUUGCCUAAGCAUAAGAGAAAUCUGACUUGACUACCAUGCAUCAAUUUGUUGACAUAAUUCUUCUCUUGGUUUUGCUAUAUUACUUAAAAAAUAAUGGGUGUAGAGGGUGGAUGAGAAAGGAGCUAUUGUAAAAGAGGCAAGGCUUGCAAAAUGUAAGCUUUUUGCAUUUUAGCCAAACAAGCUUUUUGAACAUGGCACUAAGGAUAACAAAGGAGAAAGGAUUGUUCUUCAUUCUUACUUUAUUAAAUUCUGAGGGAACAGUGACAUCAGUUUCAUCCCAGUUUUGAAGGACAGUAGCAUCCUCUAGCCUGUUUCAAAUGUUUUCCGAAGAAAAUUUGUACAGCUAAUUGCCAGUUUUCAACCAGCUUAAAAAGGGAAAUGCAAAUGACAACUUAGUUUUCAGUAGGAAACCUGGUUAUAUUCCUAAUCUAAGAAAAGAGUUCUUUGAAAGUGUGAACACGAAGUAAAUGAGACCUUUAAUAUAAGGGCCUGACUUAGAACGCUGUGGAUGUGCGCGUCCUGGGCCGGAGGUGCCGAGAUCUUUGGUAACACCGAGCUCCAUCUACUGGCGUGCGGGAGAAGUCGAGAGACUUGCGUGUACCACCUCCUCCCUUUUGACAAAAAUACCUUCUUCGGCCUUGGAAACCAGCGCUGAACGAGUUUUGGUGCCUUAGAUCUAUUCGAGGGCUGUUCUCGUGCUGGGAAGAAUUGCAAUAUUUAGCCUAUGAUAUCACCUUAGUUCCUCUACUCCAUCGCUGUAAAGGCAUCUCCAUCUAUCAUCGAGAUCAGGGGCUGAGAUCACCUUUCAGCCUUGUAAGAGCUGAGAUUACCAGGCCAAGUAUCUCCAAAUGAGCCAGUCCUCAAAGCACAGCUAACUGCAGCUGCCAGCUGAGUACUAACUGUUGUACAGACAGUGAUGGUCUUGGAGGGGGGCAAGUAUGCAAAAAUCUAUUUGCUAACAUCUGAGGUAUUCAUUUGCUAUCUGCACUUGGUAAGGUCUUGCCAGUGACUUGAAUCAGAGGCUAAAAAAGAACCCUCUUUGAAGUGGAAAUGAGUGCCUGGAUAUCCAAAGGAUGCUGGGGUUAUCCAUUCAGUAAAAGUAGGUUGUCUUGAACAGAUCUUUGACUGCACUGCCAAUCGAUCUGCACAGCUAACUCAAGUUAGGAAUUUUUUCUUUAAGGUAACUGAAAUAUACUGUUUGGAUUUUGACUUUUUACUGUUAGGGAAAACUGAUUUUGUGAUGCAAACAAUUAAGUAUUUGUUUCAAAAUGUGACAGUACAGGACGCUCAGUGUUGUUCAUUUCUUCAAGGAGAUGUGACUUAAGAAACUGUUCCAUUUUGAACAUUACCUUUUCAAAUGGAAAAUGAUGCAGCCAAGGGCUUUCCAAUCAAGUUUAUAAUUAUUUCUUCAACUUCUUUAAAAAUAAAAUAGUUAAAAUUAAAAGUUAAAAUGGAAAUUCUGAACAGUGUACAUAGAUGUAGCCUAGUCUUUUAGAAGGCAGAGAAACUACACUUUUCCACAUGUAAAACUGAUCUCCUUCAUCCAAAGCCAUGUUUUACAAUUAAGUUUUUGUUUGUUUUUUCUUUUUUUUUUUUUUUCUAACCAUUCUUCACAUUCACACAGCUCAAAGAACUCAAAUCACACAGCUACAAAGAAGGAAAUGUGGAACUGAAGUUAUGCUGGGAGGGAGGUGAAGUCUUCUGAAAUAAGGACUAGUCAAUGCAUAGGUUUUCAGUUCUUUGUGGACAUUUUCAUCACUGUGUUCGUAUUUGUAAAGGCAGAUCUGAGCCUUAAAGACCUAAUUAUCACAAGUGACCAAGUCAUCUUCAUGAGCUUGGAGCAUGGUCAGGUACCUUAGGAGUUUACUAAUAAGCUGUAAGCAUUGCCACUCUUCUCAAGCCUUGGGAAAGCAGGUGGCAUCUGAGCUCAACACAGAUAUUGCUGGUUAUUUCUCUCCUAAUUCUCUCGUCAAUGUUUUUCUACGGAAAACUGUGCCUGGGACUUUUUCCUCCAGCUGUAAAUCCUCCCCUAAUUCCAAAUCUAAUUGCAUUAAAGGCCUGUUUAUAUCU